GAAAUGCGAUAAGUAGUGUGAAUUGCAGAAUUCAGUGAAUCAUCGAAUCUUUGAACGCACAUUGCGCUCUCUGGUAUUCCGGGGAGCAUGCCCGUUUCAGAAUCAUAUAAUCAUCUCAAUCCUCCUGUUUGUUAACGCAAGCAGGGUGGAUUGGAUGUUGGAUGUCUUUUUUGAAUCCUUACUCGAGGAUGCAAUCAUCUGAAAUAUGAUGGUACGUGGUCCUAGCUAACAUAGCUGGCUGGUCUACCUGGUGCAACAGAUAAACAUCUUUACACCUUGCAGACGAGACAGCUAGAGCUUGUUUGACCCUGCGUACACCAUAAUAAUACAGAUGGCUCGCGCUAUCUGAUAACUUGGUCUGAAAUCGGGCAAGAAAACCCGCUGAACUUAA
rnacentral:misc_RNA from 1 species